GAAGGAAGGAAGGAAGGAAGGAAGAAAGAAAGAAAGAAAGAAAGAAAGAAAGAAAGAAAGAAAGAAAGAAAGAAAGAAAGAAAGAAAGAAAGAAAGAAAGAAAGAAAGAAAGAGGAAGGGAGGGAAGGAAGGAAGGAGGGAGGGAGGGAGGGAGGGAGGGAAAGAAGGAAGGAAGGAAGGAGGGAGGGAAAGAAGUAGGGAAAGAAGGAAGAAGGAAAAAGAAAAGAAACCCCGCCUCUCUUGGAAACCACAGGCUGAUAGGAGAGGCAACAUGCAAGCCACUAUGGAGAGAAAAGGUACAAUCUAUACAAGUUAAAUUUCUGCUGGUCUCAUAGGCACUGAAAGCACUCAGAUUAAGGAGACCUGGG
rnacentral:lncRNA from 1 species